rnacentral:rRNA from 1 species
CGCGGUAUCUUGACCGUGCGAAGGUAGCGUAAUCAUUAGUCUCUUAAUUGGGGGCUUGAAUGAAGGGUCGGACGAGAAAUAGACUGUCUUUAUUGAAAAAAUGGAGUUUAACUUUUAAGUGAGAGGGCUUAAAUAUUCUAAAGGGACGAUAAGACCCUAUAAAGUUUAACAUUUUUAUUCAUUAAAAGAUAAAGAAGGUGGAUAGCUUCUAUUAGUGAGAAUAAUGUUUGGUUGGGGUGACCGAAAUAAAAAGAAUUUAAUUGUUUUGUGUUGGUACAAAUAUGUUUGUGAUAGUUGAUCCUUAGUAGAGAUGUUAGAGUAAAUUACUUUAGGGAUAACAGCGUAAUUUUUUUUGAGAGUUCUUAUUGACAGAAAAGUUUGCGACCUCGAUGUUGAAUUAAAGAAUUCUUUAUGCCGCAGAAGCUAUAAAAGAAGGUCUGUUCGA